ensembl:lncRNA
CUGGAAUAAAUGCAGAUUUGCUCAGCUUGUUUGAAGAAAGCAUUAUGACCCUGAAUCCUGAGAAGUCUUUAUUUUAUAACAUAACUUUAAAAAUGAAAGCUUCACAUGUGAGAUAAAUGCACUCAGAGACUCCUCACAAGUAGCUCUUUGGAGCUUCAGAUGUGAAAUGGAUCAUUCCUCAAUCUGUAAUAGACCCUUCUGUGAAGCUCUUCAAUCAAACCUGAGAAUUCAAGGGGAAAUUGAGGGGAGGAUGAGAAACCCCUACAGGGGGAUUUGAGUGAAGUAGUUGAGAGAAAACCUGGAGUAUUUGCUGCAUCUUUUUUUCAGUUCUUUUCUUGAGCAUGUAGGAAGACUGUCAAUCACUGUGCAACCUUACCUGCUAUUUGUGCGUUGUACCUGGGUCAGCGAGACAAGCUAUGGAGGACUCCCGCUACGCAGGCACCUGUGAUUCUUUUCCACUGGUCGUUUUUCCUGACAGCCUUCAGGCGUUUUGUAGCAUCCUAAACAGAAGGAUAUUGAAGGGAGCUGAUUCUGCUUUGAUCCUUGUGCUUGUUGUCAAAGCGCUUGGGAUUGAAGAGACUGUUGGCUACAAUUGACUGUGACAAUUAGGAGAUGAUCAGAGCCCUAGAGUGGAGCACUUAAAGGAAGGGGAAUGGAAAAGGGAAAAUGUGAGUACAGAGAAAUUGGCACUGAUUUCCAUCACAAAAAGAGACUCUACAAAGCUCUGGAGGAAAGUUACACCACCGCAUAGGCUGAUGGUUGGGUUCUUCUCCCAUAUAGGUCAUCAUUGUAAUUAGCCUCCAAUUAAAAUAUAAACAUUAUUUUCAAAAAACUUCAU